rnacentral:tRNA from 1 species
GCCAGAGUAGCUCAGCAGGUUAGAGCGCCGCACUCAUAACGCGGAGGUCGGCGGUUCAAGUCCGCCCUCUGGUACCA